ACUAGGAAAACAAGAAAAGAAUGAAUUACAUUCACAAAACAAAGUUAAAGACACAGCCCUCUUUAAUGUAACAUUAGCAUUCAUGAUUUAAAUUCCACUUUCCCUUUUAACUUUAAUUUUUCUCAUGAAGAAAGCUAAGCCAUCACGACUGGCUUUACAAUAAACUAGACACCAAGGGCAGCGGGAGGGCAGAGGCUCUCCUGCCACCAACGUAACUCCCUGGACAGCAAGCACGGGGGCAGCGGCGGGAGUUCAGGACCAAGGCCCAUCCUGGGGGCAGGCGCCUCGACCCUCCUCGGACAUUUUCCAAGGAGCUGACGGCAGGGGACGUAAUGACGCCACUGUUCCAGCACCAAGGACUGGUUUUCGGAAAAUCAAAGGAAUGACCAUGAAAGAGGUCCCGACAGUGCCUCGUGUGGAAUCUGCCGGCACUCCAGCAACACUUAGCCCUCCUUGUUUGGGAAACCCACCUAGACUGCUUAUUCCUUUUGGGGUCUUCGGCUGCAAAAAUGUGCACCGUGCCAUGGUCACUGGACACGCAGAUGAGGGAAGCGUCCUGAUUGAAGUUAAUGCUGCAGAGAAACCAGAUGGAACUUGGGCUCUGGCAGAUGCAGAAGAGCCCAGCCCCGCCCUCAGCAGGCCCGCACUCAGACAGCAGCUUUAAGAACCUGCCUCCUCAAUGAGCCGACAGCAUUCACCACGGAACCAGAGGGUCCAAGCCAGGGCCUGGCCCUCCUUGGGGCAGACGCAGCUGGGAUUCCCAAGGCCAUCCCAGCAUGCCACUCAGGCCCAAAUGCAGCUCCACACGUGCCAAGGCCACAGACGCAAAGCAUGAGGUCCUGCCGAGCAGGGCCGGCCUGUCAGAGCUGCAGACGCUGUGGGGCGCGGAACCACCAUCGACAGCAAGCGGUUCAGUCUCACAGGAGACGGGAGUGAUUACAGAUGCGUCACCAAGGCCUCCAGCGUUUGCCUUAAAACGCUACAGAGAGGAAGCCGGGACGGUGAGGAGACGAAGCAAACGCACACACGGGCGAGUGCUGAGGCAGGGUGGUGGAUGGUGGCGAGCCUAACAGCCUCUCCGCCCUUGUGUGUUCCCCUAAUAAAAAGCCAGACUCAGUGACAAGCGAGCAAGAAACCCGACCCCUGGCAGCACAGCAGCCCCGCCCACCUCACAGGCGGUGACCCCCAGCCGCAACGGCCCGUCAAGGCCCGAGCAGAGGCCUCCUCCUGGGCAAAACGACGUGCUUCUUACCAAUAAAUGUUCGCUGCUUGAGAUCCUCUUCGCAGUUCCUGGAUUAAGUGCCCUGAUGAAGUAUCAAAUAUUCUUAUAAGGGUCCCCUUUGAAAAACAGUGAAGUGUUUCAUUAUCAAAGAUUCACAACUUUUAGUUUUUUGAAAUGAUUUAUAUUCACAAAAACAUUAGCCCAUCCAACCCUCUCCCAGGUCACCCACAUCAUCUGAAACUCGGCUGUCCCUCUGCUUGUGAGCACGAGUGGACCAGGGCUCUGCGGCCGGCCAACAGCACCGGGCAUGGCUCAGGACAGGGUCGGGGAGACCCCAGGCCCAGGCGCACGUGCCCCUGGCGGACACGGAGCCCCAGGUGCUGUCAGCUCACUCACUGUGGAGGGAGAUGGCAUCUUAACUGUAACUCACACAGCCGGUGAGAAGAGGGAGCACUGUUACGUGCCAAACGGGCGCAACCAAGUGAAGUGACUUUGGACCCCCUGUGCCAACUAGGAGUCUCAGGCACAGGAUCUUCAGGGCAGGGCUGGUUCUCAGCCCCGAGAGUCCACGCGGGAGCCUGGCCGCUUCCCAGAGGGGUGGGGGCGCUCCCCAGUGGGGCGAGGGCCGCUCCCCGGCGGGGCGGGGGCGCCCACUCACUUUCUCAGAUGCGGUCGCUAUCCUUGUUCCCUGCAGGUUAAGAGCAAUGCAGCUGAGGAUGCCCUCGUGGGCGGGAAUGUCCACCGGCGGCUUCUCGGUGCUGGCCAGGUCCACGAGCUGCACGUGGCCUGUGUGCGUGCCCGGGAAGGCCAGGAGGGAGUUGUUGCUGUUCGGGCACAGGACACAGAGGCCUGAGCAGAGAGGAGACGCCUGUCAGGGACUCAGGACGGCUUGGAGCCUCUGCCUGCCCUCCAGGUCCUGCAACCAAGUCAGAACUGUCCACAGUCCUGUCACUGGACAGGGCGCUGGGGGCCAGGCACGCUUCCUCCUGGGAGACAGCGUCAUAAUCAGAAAUAUUUGCUGAACUUGUUACUGGAUAAACUUCACCAAAUGUCCCACCUCUGGGGUGCCAGCCACCAAGAAUACAAAAUUGUAAAAUCUAAAACUGAAUCCAUUAACCAUAACAUAAAAAAACAAAAUAUGCAGGAAUAGUUUAAUGGCAGGUGUGAAAGAUUCUCGCAACUGGCAAAGGAAAACCAAAGAAAGACCUGGUCGGUGCAUAGCUGCCCUGUGACAGGCGGAACCUGCAUCCUCUCCAGUCAGUGCAGCCACAACUACACACUCUGCAGGCGUUUCGAGCAGACAAGCUGACGCUGAAAGUUACAAGAAAGACAAGGCCCUAGAAUAGCCAGAAAAAUUCCUGUAACACAGGAACACGCUUAGAGGACUCAUACUGCCUAAUUUCAAGAACUAUCUUGAAGUUCCAGAAGUCAGGGUGGCAAGGACAGAGACACAGACCACAGAACAGAGUAAAGAGUCUGGAAAAAUCUUACACUUACUUGAUAUAUAUAUAUGAAAAAAAGGUACCAAGGUAAUCCUAUGCAGAAAAAAGGGCUUUUA